UAAAAAAUUUUGAUAUGUGGCAUAAAUAUAUCUUAUAUAAUAAAGUAGAGUAUACUCUCUCCUCCUUCCUCCACAUCCUCAAGAAGAGUGGGGCUUUUUUCGCCACGUGUCGCCAAACCAAACCAACUGCGUCGUCUGAAUUUAUUUUUUCUAUUCCGGUUAUCUCAUCCGCUAUUUGGACUGGGCUAUUUUUACAGCUUAUGACUGGGCCUCUUGAAACAUUAUGAUAAGCCCAAACCUUUGAAAUAUUAUGACAAGCUCACUAAUUUUAGGUUUAUUCUUCUUUGCUAGCGACCUAUGUAGACUGCCCGAUGAAAACUUCAGAAACUAAAUCGCCGUUCCGAUCUCCUCCGUAGGGUCUCAAACUUCCAUUAAUCCAUGAUUGACUCUGAGUUUUUUGCAUGAUUAACCCACCACACCAUUUCCACUGGGAAGCAUUCAUUCAAUCGACCUCUUCGCAUCCCACAUCAACUCAAACCUUUUUUACAGCUUUUUAACCAUCCUGUCCUUUGGUGUGAUUGGUGUUUUCAUCUCUACUACCAUUAUUUUGUUUGGUAAAAAAUCCUUUUUACAUUCUUCAAACUUGUAUGCCUUGACUGACGACCAUGAUGAUGCAAACUUUAAAUCAUCAUCUGAACCAGGCACUUGGUGGCUGUCUCCCAAGUUGGGAUUCAAGGGAUUGACUGCUCGAGACUAUCUUGGUGAGACCUUAUAUUGUCUUUUAUCUGCAGCAUUUAUUUUAUUUUUUUAUCUUAUUGUUUUAGAUGGUUUUGAGAGUGAAUGUUUUCUUUUCUUGAUUCAGCCAUCCGAAGCAUAUUCUCAUCAAGUGAUACUGUUUGCACUCUACAGGUUCUUGAUUUUUGAAAAGAGUAUCUCUGUCCUGAGAUUCCUUCUUCUCAAGCUUGUAUGUUUACAAGAUUUUACAAUAUCCAUGUUAACAUUACAUAUUCUCCAUCAAGAUGAGACUCCAUUGCUAUACAGCUUAGUCCUUGGAGAAGGAGUAGUGAAUGAUGCAACCUCAGUUGUUCACUUCAACGUCGUUCAAAAGAUUCACGUCGAAAGCAUCUAUGGUUUGACGGCUCUACGAGUAUUUGAAAACUUUCUGUACCUCUUCUCCACAAGCACAAUCCUCGGAAUCGCUAUUUAAAACCCAGGGCAGAAGACAAAUGUAGCUUUUUAAAUGUUUUAUUAUCACUGCUGAUCCUCAGGUAAAGUCUGUUAUAUUCAAAUUUAGGACUCUUUGAGAAUAUAAUUCAGAAUUGUGUUCUUCUCCUAAACUUGACAGAUCAUUGAGUUUCUCUGUAGUGACUGCGAUUCAGAAAGAUGAGGGUUGGUGUUACAUUGGCUGCUUCGGGUGGUCAAAGAAACUCGUCCGAGAGGAAUCUUUCUUCACAUGUGUCGCCUGCAAUAAACUAAUGCUGUGGCUGAACUCAGGUACAGGGUGAUACUUUUUGUGUUAGACGACACUGGCACAUCGGCUUUCCUUGGCUUUGAUACGAAGGUGACUAAACUGACUGGCAUUGAAGCUUCUGAGGCUGCACAUAUUGUGGGGAUAUGUUAAUGCUCAGGUUGACACUGACCUGCCUCGAUCACUGGCUGAUAUUGUUGGGAGUACCUAUACCUUCCAGCUCAGAUUAAAAGACUUCAAUUUUACUGCAAACCACCAAACCUUUACCAUUUCCCUCAUAUUUCCUGCACGAGAGCUUGCACCUAUGCCAACCUUUGCUGAAGGUGUACAAGUCCCUGAAGCUGACACACCAGGAUCAUAUGCAAGACUUGCUAACACUUGCAAAGUUGCAGAGCAAGCAACUACAUCUGAUGUUUCACUUCCCGGGCGUUUAGCAGCAGCGAAAGAACAAGUUAUUCUGGAAAGAAUACCCCGAAGAAAGCACGUGUAGAAUGAGUCCCCUUAUAAUGCAGAGCUCAUCUGCGUCUUCUUUGGAGGGAAAUAUGGAGAGCAGAACAGCUCCUACCACAUACCAAGUCAUCCAUCUGCAAGUCUUGCACCCUCCUAUAAUCCUCGAUGGCAAACUCAGAAGAAUUUUCAGAGCAAGUAUUCACAGAUUGGUGAUAAGUAACGCUCCACCGAUGAGGUUUGAAUCACACAAACUUCUUUCGUCUAAGUGUGUGUGAGUUUAUGUCUAAGUGUCUAUAGUACUCCUAUGAAGACCCGAUAUCUAACCAACAUGGGAAGGCUCCAAACCCACCAAGUUGUGACAUACUCAACAUGAACCAUCUAUGCAACAAUUAUUACUACUUUAAAAGACCGGAACAGUUUGUCCUUUACAUUUCUCAAAGAUGAGCAAAAAACAUUUCCAGUCUUUACCUUUUUUAAGAAUGAUUAUUUCUCCCUUUUUUUGGGUCAAAGAUUAUUUCUCCCUUAUGUAUUGAGUUCUCCUAUAAAGUUUCAGUUUAAGCUUCCACCAUAAUAGACAUUAACUUCUCCGUCAUCCAUACAUACAAAAACACUAAAACAAUUUACAGAAAAAAUAAUAAUUAUUGCAUCGCUUGCAUUAGUAAGAAUCUUUAGAGAUAGGCUCGAGGGGAGUCGGAAAUGCCUUUACUUGACGUACAAGUGUGGGGUCUCCUAACCGAAUAGCAUAAACCAGAGGUUUUCCAUCAAACAUGCACUCAUAAAAUUCAUAUUUCAGGUUUCUAAAUUCUAUAUCAACAAUAUCAAAUGCACCAGAAAUUAAUAUUUUUUAAAUUCGUAUAUCUACAAGCAAUGCUCAUGUGUCCCUAAUCCCCAACUAAGGACUAUAUUAUAACUCUCCUACCAUCCCAGUUCAUUACGUAACUAGAUAUAUAAAAAUACAGUCUAUAUAAUUCAUCCAACGUCUACAGAAAAAAAAAUAGAAAUGAUUAAACAAAUAUAAGUUAAAUUAGCAGAAGCUUCAUUAUAUGAUCAAUUGGUUUAAAAACUAAGCACCCUAAGAAAACUUUGAAAUAAAUAGUACAAAUAUCGCUGCUUAAUUAAAACAUAAGAAUCCUGAACAAAAGGUAAAUAAUAGUUAUAUUAUUAAUAAAAUGUAACGUCAAUUAAAAACAUAUAAUAUAAUGCUCUCUUACAAAUCCACACUAAAUAAAAAUUAUUAGAGAUAAUUCUGAUAAAAAUUAACAAUCUAACGUAAACAAACAUUCAUCCAAAAAAACAAACCUUUUGAAUAAAUGAUCCUCUAAACAAAAUGUUACAAGAAGUCAAGAAAAUCGAUAACUUAAAUUCACCAUCUAUAAGACAUAGCUAUAACACCUUAUACUGAUUUUAAAUUUGAACUCACACAAAAUAACCAAAUAAUUAUUAACAACCACUUCUUUCUUUUGAGUUCUCACACUAAACAAGACCUUCAGGAGCGAAUCCACGGUGCACACUCCAAGUCUACAUCUAUAGGCUCAAUACACAACAAUCUAUCAUUGAUUUCAAUAAUCUAUCAUUGGUACUUAACUGUAUAAGUAUGUUCUCUGAAUAAAACAUCAACUUUACUUCAUAUUAAAUUCCAACUAAAUUAGCUUUGUCACAACUAUCGGCUAUUUAUUCUACUUUUAUUGAAUCGAUUAGUCAAAACCAUGUAUGCUAUUCUACUUUAAACUAAGCAACUUCAAAACAAAGUAAUGCACUACAUUCGCUAACCACUAUCAAAUUGAACGAAAAAAAUAUCAUUCUCUUCCAAAAUAUUUUCAUAUUUUUGAACAUAUUUUCUUUACUAAGUUUAUGAAUUGUAAAUUCAUGUAAGAAUAAAAUAUAGGAACCCGGCGCGUAGCGCCGGAAUACCACUA